AGAGUUUGAUUCUGGCUCAGGACGAACGCUGGCGGCGUGCUUAACACAUGCAAGUCGAACGGUAAGGCCCUUCGGGGUACACGAGUGGCGAACGGGUGAGUAACACGUGGGUAAUCUGCCCUGCACAUCGGGAUAAGCCUGGGAAACUGGGUCUAAUACCGAAUAGGACCACAGAACACAUGUCCUGUGGUGGAAAGCUUUUGCGGUGUGGGAUGGGCCCGCGGCCUAUCAGCUUGUUGGUGGGGUGAUGGCCCACCAAGGCGACGACGGGUAGCCGGCCUGAGAGGGUGUCCGGCCACACUGGGACUGAGAUACGGCCCAGACUCCUACGGGAGGCAGCAGUGGGGAAUAUUGCACAAUGGGCGAAAGCCUGAUGCAGCGACGCCGCGUGGGGGAUGACGGCCUUCGGGUUGUAAACCUCUUUCACCAUCGACGAAGGUCCGGGUUUUCUCGGGCUGACGGUAGGUGGAGAAGAAGCACCGGCCAACUACGUGCCAGCAGCCGCGGUAAUACGUAGGGUGCGAGCGUUGUCCGGAAUUACUGGGCGUAAAGAGCUCGUAGGUGGUUUGUCGCGUUGUUCGUGAAAUCUCACGGCUUAACUGUGAGCGUGCGGGCGAUACGGGCAGACUUGAGUACUGCAGGGGAGACUGGAAUUCCUGGUGUAGCGGUGGAAUGCGCAGAUAUCAGGAGGAACACCGGUGGCGAAGGCGGGUCUCUGGGCAGUAACUGACGCUGAGGAGCGAAAGCGUGGGGAGCGAACAGGAUUAGAUACCCUGGUAGUCCACGCCGUAAACGGUGGGUACUAGGUGUGGGUUUCCUUCCUUGGGAUCCGUGCCGUAGCUAACGCAUUAAGUACCCCGCCUGGGGAGUACGGCCGCAAGGCUAAAACUCAAAGAAAUUGACGGGGGCCCGCACAAGCGGCGGAGCAUGUGGAUUAAUUCGAUGCAACGCGAAGAACCUUACCUGGGUUUGACAUGCACAGGACGCCGGCAGAGAUGUCGGUUCCCUUGUGGCCUGUGUGCAGGUGGUGCAUGGCUGUCGUCAGCUCGUGUCGUGAGAUGUUGGGUUAAGUCCCGCAACGAGCGCAACCCUUGUCUCAUGUUGCCAGCGGGUAAUGCCGGGGACUCGUGAGAGACUGCCGGGGUCAACUCGGAGGAAGGUGGGGAUGACGUCAAGUCAUCAUGCCCCUUAUGUCCAGGGCUUCACACAUGCUACAAUGGCCGGUACAAAGGGCUGCGAUGCCGCGAGGUUAAGCGAAUCCUUUUAAAGCCGGUCUCAGUUCGGAUCGGGGUCUGCAACUCGACCCCGUGAAGUCGGAGUCGCUAGUAAUCGCAGAUCAGCAACGCUGCGGUGAAUACGUUCCCGGGCCUUGUACACACCGCCCGUCACGUCAUGAAAGUCGGUAACACCCGAAGCCAGUGGCCUAACCCUUUGGGAGGGAGCUGUCGAAGGUGGGAUCGGCGAUUGGGACGAAGUCGUAACAAGGUAACCGUA
rnacentral:rRNA from 1 species